AGGGUUCCUUGGCUGCAGUGUGGAGAAUGGAUUGUUGAAGAGCAGACACAGAAAGCGGGAGAUGAGAUGAGGAGAUUGCUGCGAUACAGUUGUCCCUCGGAUGCACGGGGCAUUGGUUCAGGAUCCCACAGAUCCCUUGGAUGUGGAGAGUCAACUGUGCCCCAGAUUACCCAGUCUCAGGUAUUUCGUUAGAGCAGUGGAAAAUGAACUAAGACAUUCUGCCACCCUCUGAUCACUACUUGCUGUUGCCACUGCUGCUGUACAGAGAUGUCUGGGGAAGCUCCUGUCCAGGGCCACCUACAAGCAGGAGCAGAGUCAGCAUUUAAACCCAAAGUCCAUUUGCUUCCAAAGUCUCUGGAGAAAAAGAAACCUGGGGACACCA